rnacentral:lncRNA from 1 species
AAGAAAUGACAGAUACAUGGAUCUGACAAGUGCACUUCCAGCUCCCAGAGUUCAUUCCCUCCAGCCGCUUAGGGUGGUUUUGGAAUUCUGGGCUCUGAAGUCCACAUACCUUAAAGCUGCUUAGUUUGGGAAAACCAACCAAUCACUGUUUUAGAUUCGAAGGAAAACCCGACCGCCCGAUUUUCAGUCUUUCUAAGCACGCAGAUCGCACCGUGCAAACCUUUUUAAUGCCCUCGCCUGGAAAGCCAUCCUCACACAACCUCUCGGCCAGGGGGGGAGAUCUACCGGUCCGGUUCGGUUCUAUAGAACAGGUAGCUCCGAAGAGCAGCUGACACCGAACCGGUUUGCUGGGACAAGGUUUUGGUCUGCUGUUUGGCCCACCCCGCCAUCUAGGUUGCGUUUUUCCCCCUCAGCUACUUUGCGCAGCUGAGUGCUGCUCGUCAGCUGGAGCCGGUAGUGUAUGCGCUCCCCAAACCAGUUAAUGCCGGUCGGAUCCCAGCCCUGCUCUCGACAUAGCUUGAAAUGGGCGACUGCACCCACAUUUGGGUUCACUCUUUGGAUGUAGCGAAACCGUGUGUGUGUGAGAGAGAAUGAACCAUAGAGGAGCCUCUGGGGGUGUUUGGGCCUUUGCUUGCUGCUCUGUCCACACCCACUUCCGCCCCGUUGACAAGGGACGGACGGAUCUUGUUUUUUGGGAGGGGGAGCGGGGGACACUCUCGGGCAAUUUAAAGUGCGCACCCUCAUUGCUCACGCUUUCCCGAGUGGCUCGGCCCGGGGAUGUAUGUGCCGCAGGUAACCGAGCCCACCGUGGGGUGCUUCCGAGAGGGCCGCCUGAGUGUCGCCUGCCUCACGGGUGGGGUGGAGGCCCGGCUUCGACUUGAACCCUGCUGCCUUUCCUUCCUUAUAGGUGGCGAUCGCGGCCGGGGGGGCCCUAGCGGCAUGAGAGGAGGCCGAGGUGGGCUGAUGGACCGCGGUGGGCCCGGAGGGAUGUUUCGCGGCGGCCGUGGUGGAGACCGAGGCGGGUUCCGAGGAGGCCGUGGCAUGGACCGAGGGGGCUUCGGAGGGGGCCGGCGAGGAGGCCCCGGGGGCCCGCCUGGACCUCUUAUGGAGCAGCUAGGAGGCCGAGGCAGCAGGCGCGGAGGACCAGGGAAGAUGGACAAGGGGGAGCACCGUCAGGACCGCAGAGACCGGCCCUAUUAAGCGGCCAGGGACUCUUCCCCCUCUUUUUUUCCCUGCUGGACUGCAUUUACUACCAGAUUUAUUUUUUAAACCAGAAAAAUGUUUUAAAUUUAUAAUUCCAUAUUUAUAAUGUUGGCUCCAACAUUAUGAUGAUUCCUUGUCUGUACUUAGUAUUUUUCACUGUUUGUGGAGAAACAUUAAAACAAAAGUUAAAUGGGAGCGUGCCGAGUUAUUCUUUAUUCUUUUCCCUUUAUAAACAAAAACAAAAAGCCACAACAAAAAGAAAUGUGGUGGUUUAAUUAAAAACUCAUUUUUUGUUUGUUUUUUUAAAGCAAAGUUGUCAUGAGCAUGCCCAGUUAAAAUUGUUUUUGGAGGUGUCAGGAGGAUGGAAAUUUAAUGUAACCAAUGUUCGCGGUUGUGAUGUUUUCAUUUUCAUUUUUAUUUUCUUAAAUAAACUUCCAUAUGUUUGUAAAUGCA